rnacentral:misc_RNA from 1 species
UUGGCCUGGCGAAGGGUUACGAAGUGAAGGAACAUCUGGGUAACGAGUUCUCUGAGCUGAGUUUUAGGCUCGCCAUGUUUCUUGAUGGAGAGCAUCUUGGUGACGAUCUCCUCCACAGAACUUUUGCUUUCUCGGAGCAUUUCGUAGGGAGACAUUUUGCCAGUAUCGCUGUCUGACGGCAGGGGCUCGGGCUCGUCUUCUAUGAGCAUUCCCUCCUCUAUCUCCUCG